AAAAUAGUUUGGUUAUUAGUUUGAGAGCAGAGACUAACACUCAGGUCAUGCCCGGGUCCCCCUGGAACUAUGCCCUGCAACUGAGCGAUGAGACGGCUCGGACCUGAAGGUGGUGGUCACCAGACUCCAGAAGGGGAUUCCCCCAUUCUCCAAAAAGGGAGCACCUGUUACGACUAUGGCAAAGGGAUGUCUAAUGAGCUAUUGAGUGCUGAGUGCAUGUUGUCUGUGGGUUGAGUAGCAAUUAAUGCACUUAGUCUCAAAUGACAUUGUAUGUAUAACGAAGAUGGCAGUAAAACCAGAAUUUCUAGAUGAGACUUUUGGCCUGUUUUGAUAGCUAUAUACUUGUCUCAGGUCAAUCAUGGCUCUAAGAUAAACUGCCUGGCAUUGCAUAGAAACUGUGAACAAUUUUUGAUUUUUGUUGUUGACUUAACUUGUUUUGUUUCAGUGUACAAUUUGCUCAUGAGUCGACAAUAAACAUUGCCACCAUAUAUACUCCCCCAUCACUCUGCUUGGGGCUAUAUAAUUAUGUAUUUUCUGUUUC